GGAGAGUUUGAUCAUGGCUCAGAACUAACGCUAGUGGCGUGUCUUAGUCAUGCGAGUCGAGCGAGAAAGCCCUCUUCGGAGGGUGAGUAGAGCGGCGAACGGGUGAGUAACGCGUGGGUAAUUUACCUCCGAGUCGGGGAUAACACUCCCAACGGAGUGCUAAUACCGGAUUCGAUGUGGUGGUCUCGGCCGCCACAUGAAAGAUGGCCUCUGCUUGCAAGCUGUCGCUCGGAGAUGAGCCAGCGUCCUAUUAGCUUGUUGGUGGGGUAACGGCCUACCAAGGCGACGAUGGGUAGCCGGCCUGAGAGGGUGAACGGCCACACUGGCACUGAGACAAGGGCCAGUCCCCUACGGGGGCCAGCAGUCUAGAAAUUUGCACAAUCGCCGAAAGGCGGAUGCAGCGACGCCACGUGGAGGAUGAAGUCCUUCGGGGCGUAAACUCCUGUCAGAUGGGAAGAAGGCGCGGGUAUUAAUACCACCCGUUGCUUGACGGUACCAUCAGAGGAAGCUCCGGCUAACUGCGUGCCAGCAGCCGCGGUAAUACGUGGGGAGCAAGCGUUGUUCGGAUUUACUGGGCGUAAAGAGCUCGUAGGCGGGUGUGUAAGUCGGGUGUGAAAUCCUCUGGCUCAACCAGAGAACUGCACCCGAAACUGCGCAUCUUGAGUUCAGCAGAGGGAAUCGGAAUCAGUUGUGUAGCGGUGAAAUGCGUAGAGAUAACUGAGAACACCAGUGGCGAAAGCGGAUUCCUGGGCUGACACUGACGCUGAGGAGCGAAAGCUGGGGGAGCGAACAGGAUUAGAUACCCUGG
rnacentral:rRNA from 1 species